rnacentral:lncRNA from 1 species
CGUCAUCCAGCCCAAGACCAUGCAGAUAGAGGCGAGUGCCGGCCAGGGCCCCGGGGAGGGGAAGAGGCUCCUGCUGGCCAGCAGCUCUCCCGCAUCUUCCAUACGGAAGUCCACGAGGCCCUACGUGGGUCCCAUCUCCCCUGUACCACCUAUGACUCAGGCUCGAACAGGCGCAAAGCAGGCGCUGGCUGGGAGGUCUGAGGGGACUGCAGGUGGCCCUGGAGCUGUGGCAGGUUUGGGGCUCCCCACUUCCUCUCCUCUCCCCAGCCCUGUUGAUGGGCAGCCAUGACUCCACAGAAGUCAUUUGACGCCCACCCGCGGCGGGAGAGCCAGGUGCGGCAGCUGGCGUGGAUCGGCGAUGGCGUAUGGGUGUCCAUCCGCCUGGACUCCACCCUGAGGCUCUACCAUGCACACACGCACCAGCAUCUACAGGACGUGGACAUUGAGCCCUACGUCAGCAAGAUGCUAGGCACUGGCAAGCUGGGUUUCUCCUUCGUACGCAUCACGGCCC